CCUACGGGGGGCAGCAGUGGGGAAUAUUGGACAAUGGGGGCAACCCUGAUCCAGCCAUGCCGCGUGUGUGAAGAAGGCCCUCGGGUUGUAAAGCACUUUCAGUGAGGAAGAACGCCUGGUGGUUAAUACCCAUCAGGAAAGACAUCACUCACAGAAGAAGCACCGGCUAACUCCGUGCCAGCAGCCGCGGUAAUACGGAGGGUGCGAGCGUUAAUCGGAAUUACUGGGCGUAAAGCGCGCGUAGGUGGCUUGAUAAGCCGGUUGUGAAAGCCCCGGGCUCAACCUGGGAACGGCAUCCGGAACUGUCAAGCUAGAGUGCAGGAGAGGAAGGUAGAAUUCCCGGUGUAGCGGUGAAAUGCGUAGAGAUCGGGAGGAAUACCGGUGGCGAAGGCGGCCUUCUGGACUGACACUGACACUGAGGUGCGAAAGCGUGGGUAGCAAACAGGAUUAGAUACCCUAGUAGUC
rnacentral:rRNA from 1 species